AUACGUAGGGGGCGAGCGUUGUCCGGAAUUACUGGGCGUAAAGGGUGCGUAGGCGGCCAUAUAAGUCAGGUGUGAAAAACCACGGCUUAACCGAGGUAUUGCACAUGAAACUGUGUGGCUUGAGUACAGGAGAGGAAAGUGGAAUUCCUAGUGUAGCGGUGAAAUGCGUAGAGAUUAGGAAGAACACCAGUGGCGAAGGCGGCUUUCUGGACUGUAACUGACGCUGAGGCACGAAAGCGUGGGGAGCAAACAGGAGUAGAUACCCUGGUAGUCCACGCUGUAAACGAGGGAUACGAGGUGUAGGGGUUUAAAGACUUCUGUGCCGGAGUUAACGCAAUAAGUAUCCCGCCUGGGGAGUACGGCCGCAAGGCUGGA
rnacentral:rRNA from 1 species